GAGGGGGUCAGGGAUUUUUAGCUGGAAGACUUUUUCUCCAAAAGAAAAAAAAAUAAUAAUAACGCUGACUUGUUGAAAAUGUCUUUUUCACUUUAAGAAGACGGGUUUCAAUAUAGCUUUAUUCAACGGCCUGAAAUAUUUUUAAUGUUUAAAAUGAAAUUUCUUUCCAGAUAUCCACUCUGAGUCAUCUUUCUCAUAUUCAGAGGUAAGAUAAUUAUAAAGUAAUUACAAUAAGGCCAGAGUAGAAAAGGUACUUUUCAAACUAACCUAGAGAUUCAGGCCAGACUUCAGCUGAAUAUUCUUUUCCUUUUCAGUUCACAUUUCUUUUGUCCUGAGAUAAAACAGAGAAAUAUUUCCAAAUCUUCCAAGUGCAGAAACAUUUCCUUGCCCAGUGCUAAUUGCUCAAUUGAAUUAUUGGUAGACAGAUCACAGCUACCUUCAAUUAAUCAGUUCCAUGCCUGCCUUUUUCCACAAUCUCUGACCCGUGGCUCACUCACAGCCGCUAUGCUUGUGCUGAUUUAAUUAGCCAUUUCAUUCGCAUGGGACAUGAAUGUUUCCUGCCUGCACAGACCCUCACUUCUCUUCAGCAUUUGAGUGUAUCUUCUAUUUCUCACUUAAAAUUCACCCCUUCCCAAACCACGUUUGCCUCUGACUCUGUGUUAACGGCUGCCACCAGGUGCUGGGGGUAGUUUGAUAAGGGAUAUAAAGGCAGCACAACAUCCCUAGAGCUCUCUGCAGGAAGGAGGUGCCCUGGUACUGCUCCUAGAAGUUAGAGCAGCCCCAGUGAGGCUGUGGGCUUCAGGUGUCUGUGGUUGUUCCAAAUGGCCUUUCCAUUCUCGUGAGCCAGGAAGGUGAAAUAAACGGGAGGCAUUACUUUCGGAGCGACCAACAUAUUUGCCAACAAAGAACUGAUGCCGGCCUCACACUGCCCGCUGCAGCCACCUCUCUCUGCAAUAUACCAGAAGGGAUCGGCCAUGCAUUAGGCUGCUCAAAAUGAGGCCUGGCUUUCAGGUUUGGAGGUACGGAGUGUGAGCAGGGAGGGACAGCCGGUGUGGGCACACUGACAGUCUCCACUGGAGUUUUUGCACGAGUUCUGGGUAACUUUGAAGAACUGCAGCCAAAGGUGGCUGGAUGGAUGCACACCAUUCCUCCAGCGCAGCUCUGUCCCGCGUCUAAACAACCGCAUG
ensembl:lncRNA